GAUGAACGCUGACAGCAUGCUUAACACAUGCAAGUCAACUGUGGCGGACGGGUGAGUAACGCGUAAAGAACUUGCCUCACAGCUAGGGACAACAUUUGGAAACGAAUGCUAAUACCUGAUACUGUGAGAGAGCUUUGCGUCCCAUGAGCUAGUUGGAGAGGUAACGGCUCACCAAGGCGAUGAUGGGUAGCCGGCCUGAGAGGGUGAUCGGCCACAAGGGGACUGAGACACGGGCCUUACUCCUACUGGAGGCAGGAGUGGGGAAUAUAGGACAAUGGACCAAAGUCUGAACCAGCAAUUCUGUGUGCACGAUGAAGUUUUCGGAAUGUAAAGUGCUUUCAGUUGGGAAGCGGUACCAACAGAAGAAGUGACGGCUAAAUACGUGCCAGCCGCCGCGGUAAUUC
rnacentral:rRNA from 1 species